UCUUGGUUCAGGACGAACGCUGGCGGCGUGCCUAAUACAUGCAAGUCGAACGGUCUUUCUAUGGAAGCUUGCUUCCACUGAGAAGAUAGUGGCGAACGGGUGAGUAACACGUGGGUAACCUGCCCAUAAGAGGGGGAUAACAUCCGGAAACGGGUGCUAAUACCGCAUAGUUUUCUUGAUCGCAUGAUUGAGAAAGGAAAGACGGCCUUUGUGCUGUCGCUUAUGGAUGGACCCGCGGCGUAUUAGUUAGUUGGUGAGGUAACGGCUCACCAAGACGAUGAUACGUAGCCGACCUGAGAGGGUGAUCGGCCACAUUGGGACUGAGACACGGCCCAAACUCCUACGGGAGGCAGCAGUAGGGAAUCUUCCGCAAUGGACGAAAGUCUGACGGAGCAACGCCGCGUGAGUGAAGAAAGGUUUUCGGAUCGUAAAACUCUGUUGUCAGAGAAGAACAAGUUGGAGAGUAACUGCUCCAGCUUUGACGGUAUCUGACCAGAAAGCCACGGCUAACUACGUGCCAGCCGCAGC
rnacentral:rRNA from 1 species